rnacentral:lncRNA from 10 species
GUUUGGUUAUAUUUGUUGAGAAUACUUUCAAUUACAAGUAACAGAAUUCUGAAUAAUAAUAACUUAAGUAAUAAAGAUAUUCAUUAUAUCAUAUAACAAAGUAUAAAAGUAGGCUUAUCAAAGUUUCAGAGAUGCACAGUGAUUUUUGAGGGCCCUACGCACUUUUGCCUUCGAUUUUCUGCAAAUUUGUUCUCAGCAUGUUGGGAAUAAAAAGCCAAUAGGGCCGGGCGAUGUGGCUCACGCCUGUAAUCCCAGCACUUUGGGAGGCCGAGGCGGAUCACGAGGUCAGGAGUUUGAGAUCAGCCUGGCCAACAUGGUGAAACACCGUCUCUACUAAAAAUACAAAAAUUAGCCAGGCGUGGUAGCACGCACCUGUAAUCCCAGCUACUCAGAGGCUGAGGCAGGAGAAUUGCUGGAAUCCGGCAGGCAGAGGUUGCAGUGAGCCACUGCAUUCCAGCCUGGGUGACAGAGCAAGACUCCAUCACAAAAAAAAAAAAAAAAAAAAAGCCAAUAAUAGGAGAACUCUAUUAAUGUAUCCAAGGGCAAUGGUGUAGGUGCUGUGAUGCAAGAAGAUUCCCUGUCAGGAAUAAAGGGCUUAUUAUGUCAGAUGCUAGGUGUGCUGCCAGCAGACAGCCUCUCAGCUCUUAGCCCCCUUUGAGGAUGACCUCAGCUGACAAAAGCUGCCUAACCUAGCCUACACACUCUUCAUAGGUAGCCUUCAUUCAAUGACUGAUGAACAUGUGGUUAUAAAAGCCUGGCCACUUCACCCCAAUUCAGGACAGCUGGUGUUGGCCCCCAAAAUACUUCCUAAUAAAUCUCCUGCAUGAAAUCACCAUCUCAAAGUGUACCUUCUGGAGAAUACAGUGUUUGGAAAGCAGUAAGUCAUGGCUAAAUACAGCAAUAUGCUCUGGAGUUCACUUGGAUACUUCCCUAGGCAAAAGGCAAGUCCAAUUAUGGAUAAACAUGGCUAGACUACGAGCUCAACAUCAAGAAAAGCCAUUUCACCUAUGUAACCAACUAACCUAGAUGACCAAGCCUAAUUAUAGAGUUUUCAUUCAAAACCACUUUGUGCUUGGUAGACACUAAAUUGAAGCAAGGCAGCAAGUGGGUCUCACAGCCAGUCCCUCAAAGACGUAUCAAAAGCAGGAACUUCUUAAAACACUAGAAACUGAACUAGUACUUUACAACCCAUCAGCAAACUAAAGACGGGGAAGACCACACAAAGAUUAUUCACCUUAAUCAAAAACAUGGGACCAGCUCAGCAGCUCAUCACCACAGAAAAUAGAUGAAUGGAAAGAAAAUGGCUGCUCUAGACACGAGGCAAUUUCUGGAAAUCAGGAUGGUGACAUUGGAGAAGAAACUGAAGAUUCUUGGAGAAAUAUUAACUUCAUCUCAGUAAAAUGGAAGGCUUGCCAUGUUUCUCCUGUGGCUUUGACUACUCCUGGCACAUUGUACCUGCAACUUCCCUGCCUGGCCCUCACCCUGAGGCACAAAGACUCCAGUUUGAAAAGUGUGAGAUUAACAAAUAGAUUUUGUUCUCUUUACCAAAAUUUUAUUAUAUAGCUUAUUCUAUAUAAUGACAAGGUAACUGCAUUUUCUUCCACCAGUAAAUGUUUUCCAAAUAUCAAAUAAUUUGCUGCAUUCAUUUUAGCAGAGAUCAACUAAACUUACCCUCACAUUGAUCACUAUCAAUGUGAAACUUAGGGAAGCCUACAAUGUAAAGACUAGAUAUAAUUGUUGACUCUAGGUUUUAAAAAACUAUAUGUAGGGAUUUUUUAUUUUAUUGUAGUGUUACUCAAAUAAUUUUAGGCACUGGGAUUAGAUUUCUUUCAGUAAGUUUUAUUAUAUAUAUAGCACAGGCUGUCAUUAGCUUAGACUGGAAAAACCAUGGGUUUCUAAGUUUUAUGCAUCCAAUAGUCCUAUAAGAUAGGCACUCUUGUUGUUCAAGUGCCAAAAUCAAGACUUAAUAAUAAUGAAUAAUUUUUUUAGUUAUAAGCACUUUUGCUCCCAACUCAUUUGUUUCUAAAGUUCUUAAUGCUUUACAUACAUGAGUAACUUGAUUCUCACUAAAACCAUAUGAAGUAAGUAUUACUAUUGAUAUGGUUUGGCUGUGUCCCCGCCAAAUCUCAUCUUGAAUUGUAGUUCCCAUAAUCCCCACGUGUCCUGAGAGGGACCAGAUGGAGGUAAUUUAAUCAUGGGCCGGUUUCCCCAUCCUGUUCUCAUGAUAGUGAGUUAGUUCUUAUGAGAUCUGAUGGUUUUAUAAGGGGCUUCCCCCUUUGCUGGUCUCUCAUUCUUCUCCUUUCUGCCACCAUGUGAAGAAGGACGUGUUUGCUUCCCCUUCUGCCAUGAUUGUAAUUUUCCUGAAGGCCUCCCCAGCCAUCCUGAGCUGUGAGCCAAUUAAAUCUCUUUUCUUUAUAAGUUACCAAGUCUUGGGUAUGACUUUUUUAACAGCAUGAGAAUGGAUUAAUACAAUUAUAAUCUUGUUGUAGUCCUUUUUACUAUGUUUGCUAUUUUUCCAUAAGUUUGAAAUUAUUUAGAAAUAAGAAGUAAAUUUUUUAUUAUAAAUAUAUAGGAGCACAACACAUAUUGGAAAAAUUAAGAUAUAACUGACAUCACUUGCUGUGAUGCAUGACAACUAUUAAUUUUCCCUUGGUUUUCUAAGGUUAUUAGAAUUUUCAACAUUUUAAACUUUCCUUAUUAUUAAAGCAAAAACUAAAUAUUUGCAAGCUAUUCCACUAAGACGGCAGUAUAAUUCUCAUUAUAAUGAAUAGUGUAAACAAGAAAAUUCCUAUAUGCCUUUCUGAUUCUAAUUUUACAGUUAAUUUGUUCAUUUAUUCACUUGGUCAACAAAGAGUUAAAUAAU